rnacentral:rRNA from 1 species
AUUGAACGCUGGCGGCAUGCCUUACACAUGCAAGUCGAACGGUAACAGGUCUUCGGAUGCUGACGAGUGGCGAACGGGUGCGUAAUACAUCGGCACGUGCCCAGACGUGGGGGAUAACGAGGCGAAAGCUUUGCUAAUACCGCAUACGAUCUAAGGAUGAAAGCAGGGGACCGCAAGGCCUUGCGCGUUUGGAGCGGCCGAUGGCAGAUUAGGUAGUUGGUGGGAUAAAAGCUUACCAAGCCGACGAUCUGUAGCUGGUCUGAGAGGACGACCAGCCACACUGGGACUGAGACACGGCCCAGACUCCUACGGGAGGCAGCAGUGGGGAAUUUUGGACAAUGGGCGAAAGCCUGAUCCAGCAAUGCCGCGUGCAGGAUGAAGGCCUUCGGGUUGUAAACUGCUUUUGUACGGAACGAAAAGGCUCUGGCUAAUACCUGGGGCACAUGACGGUACCGUAAGAAUAAGCACCGGCUAACUACGUG